AUGUGACACUGAGACACUUGGGGACACUGGGAGACAUGGGGACACAGACAUUAGGGACAAAAUGUCCCCAAGUGUCUCAGUAUCCCCAUGUCUCCCAGUGUCCCAGGUGUCUCAGUGUCCCCAUGUUUCCCAGUGUCCCCAGUGUCUCAGUGUUCCCAU